rnacentral:rRNA from 1 species
UACGUAGGGGGCGAGCGUUGUCCGGAUUUAUUGGGCGUAAAGAGCGUGUAGGCGGCCAGGUAGGUCUGCUGUGAAAACUCGAGGCUCAACCUCGAGACGUCGGCGGAAACCAUCUGGCUAGAGUCCGGAAGAGGAGAGUGGAAUUCCUGGUGUAGCGGUGAAAUGCGCAGAUAUCAGGAGGAACACCGGUGGCGAAGGCGGGGCUCUGGGCCGAUACUGACGCUGAGGAGCGAAAGCGUGGGGAGCGAACAGG